GUGACCCCAGGAUGGGCGAGCCCACCCGCCGAGUUUAAG
rnacentral:rRNA from 1 species